rnacentral:rRNA from 1 species
GUCCCCCUACGGGAGGCAGCAGUGAGGAAUAUUGGUCAAUGGGCGGAAGCCUGAACCAGCCAAGUCGCGUGAGGGAAUAAGGCCCUACGGGUCGUAAACCUCUUUUGCCGGGGAGCAAGGGCGGGGACGUGUCCCGGCCCGGCGAGUACCCGGAGAAAAAGCAUCGGCUAACUCCGUGCCAGCAGCCGCGGUAAUACGGAGGAUGCGAGCGUUAUCCGGAUUUAUUGGGUUUAAAGGGUGCGUAGGCGGGCUUUUAAGUCAGCGGUAAACAUUCGUGGCUCAACCCCGUCCGGCCGUUAAAACUG